rnacentral:rRNA from 1 species
GUUAUGGGCUUUGCCUUACAAACUUUACCUUAAAGUUUGACCUCAAAUCAGGUAGGAUUACCCGCUGAACUUAAGCAUAUCAAUAAGCGGAGGAAAAGAAACCAACAGGGAUUGCCUUAGUAGCGGCGAGUGAAGCGGCAAGAGCUCAAAUUUGAAAUCUGGUACUUUCAGUAUCCGAGUUGUAAUUUGAAGAAAGUUAUCUUGGAGUUGGCCCUUGUCUAUGUUCCUUGGAACAGGACGUCACAGAGGGUGAGAAUCCCGUGCGAUGGGGUGCCCAUUCUAUGUAAGAUACUUUCGACGAGUCGAGUUGUUUGGGAAUGCAGCUCUAAGUGGGUGGUAAAUUCCAUCUAAAGCUAAAUAUUGGCGAGAGACCGAUAGCGAACAAGUACAGUGAUGGAAAGAUGAAAAGAACUUUGAAAAGAGAGUGAAAAAGUACGUGAAAUUGUUGAAAGGGAAGGGUAUUUGAUCAGACUGAUAUUCAGUUAACACUGUUCCUUGUGGACGGUGCUCUAGCUUUUUAUUGGGCCAGCAUCAGUUUAGGUGGCAGGAUAAGAACUGUUGAACGUGGCUCUUCGGAGUGUUAUAGCUUCAGUUGAUACUGCCUAUCUAGACUGAGGUCUGCGGCUUUGCCUAGGAUGCUGGCGUAA